rnacentral:rRNA from 1 species
AGUGAACGCUGGCGGUAGGCCUAACACAUGCAAGUCGAACGGCAGCACAGUAAGAGCUUGCUCUUACGGGUGGCGAGUGGCGGACGGGUGAGGAAUACAUCGGAAUCUACUUUUUCGUGGGGGAUAACGUAGGGAAACUUACGCUAAUACCGCAUACGACCUACGGGUGAAAGCAGGGGAUCUUCGGACCUUGCGCGAUUGAAUGAGCCGAUGUCGGAUUAGCUAGUUGGCGGGGUAAAGGCCCACCAAGGCGAUGAUCCGUAGCUGGUCUGAGAGGAUGAUCAGCCACACUGGAACUGGGACACGGUCCAGACUCCUACGGGAGGCAGCAGUGGGGAAUAUUGGACAAUGGGCGCAAGCCUGAUCCAGCCAUACCGCGUGGGUGAAGAAGGCCUUCGGGUUGUAAAGCCCUUUUGUUGGGAAAGAAAAGCAGCAGGUUAAUACCCCGCUGUUCUGACGGUACCCAAAGAAUAAGCACCGGCUAACUUCGUG